rnacentral:rRNA from 1 species
GAGUUUGAUCAUGGCUCAGAUUGAACGCUGGCGGCAGGCCUAACACAUGCAAGUCGAGCGGAUGACGGGAGCUUGCUCCUUGAUUCAGCGGCGGACGGGUGAGUAAUGCCUAGGAAUCUGCCUGGUAGUGGGGGACAACGUUUCGAAAGGAACGCUAAUACCGCAUACGUCCUACGGGAGAAAGCAGGGGACCUUCGGGCCUUGCGCUAUCAGAUGAGCCUAGGUCGGAUUAGCUAGUUGGUGGGGUAAUGGCUCACCAAGGCGACGAUCCGUAACUGGUCUGAGAGGAUGAUCAGUCACACUGGAACUGAGACACGGUCCAGACUCCUACGGGAGGCAGCAGUGGGGAAUAUUGGACAAUGGGCGAAAGCCUGAUCCAGCCAUGCCGCGUGUGUGAAGAAGGUCUUCGGAUUGUAAAGCACUUUAAGUUGGGAGGAAGGGCAGUAAGUUAAUACCUUGCUGUUUGACGUUACGACAGAAUAAGCACCGGCUAACUCUGUGCCAGCACG